rnacentral:rRNA from 1 species
CCUACGGGAGGCUGCAGUGGGGGAUAUUGCACAAUGGAGGAAACUCUGAUGCAGCAACGCCGCGUGAGGGAAGAAGGUCUUCGGAUUGUAAACCUCUGUCCUCAGGGACGAUAAUGACGGUACCCGAGGAGGAAGCCCCCGCUAACUACGGUGCAGCGGCCGGGGGAAUACGGAAGGAGCCAGCGGUUGCCGGGUAUUCUGGGUGUAAAGGGCUCGGAGGCGGGCCUGCAAGUCAGGUGUGAAAAGGAUGGGGUUAAACCAUAGAUUGCAUUUGAAACUGUAGGGCUUGAGUGAAGGAGAGGCGGGCGGAAUUCCCGGUGUAGCGGUGAAAUGCGUAGAGAUCGGGAGGAACACCAGUGGCGAAGGCGGCUUGCUGGGCUUUAACUGACGCUGAGGCACGAAAGCGUGGGUAGCAAACAGGAUUAGAUACCCGUGUAGUC